AAAAUCAGAAGGAAAAUUCUUCCCAUUACUGGUAAACGUUUAGACCCGACUAGUAUAUAACCUGCCCAAAGCCGGGACCCAACUAGCAUAGUACCCAAAACCCACUGGGCCCCAACUAGUGCGUAUCACCUAUCAAAACCACAUGGAUCCGGGACCCGAUUCGGACGCAGCCGGGUGGAGAUCGUAAAACCGAUGAUUCAAGGCAAAAAAAAAAAACGCCCCCGUUAUCUUUCAAAGUGGUAAGUGGUGGUCUAGGAGUCUAAAACCUUCGUCGCCUUACCCAUAGCCAAGAACAUAAUUAGUAAUGGA